GCGAGACUUAAUUCCUUUGUUGAGGGCGUAUUUUUGUGAAGUCUGCCCGAAGCACGUAGUGUUUGAAGAUUUCGGUCCUAUGCAAUAUGAACCCAUGAACCAUGUCAGGUCCUGACGGAAGCAGCAUUAAGUGGAUCCUCAUAUGUGCCGUAGGGUAGCCGAGAUUUAGCUGUCGACUUCGGUAACGUUUAUGAUAUGCGUUCGAUACAAAGGUGCAUGG
rnacentral:SRP_RNA from 1 species